CUGUGGGUCUCUAUGGGUCCCUACGGGUCGCUAUGGGUCUCUAUGGGUUCCUAUGGGGUCUCUAUGGGUCUCUGUGGGUCUCUAUGGGUCCCCAUGUGUCUCUAUGGGUCUUUAUGGGAUCUAUGGGUCUCUAUGGGUCCCUAUGGAUCUCUAUGGGGCACUGUGAGUCUCUAUGGGUCUCUAUGGGGUCUCUAUGAGGUCCCUAUGGGUCUCUAUGGGGCACUGUGGGUCCCUAUGGGUCUCUGUGGGGCACUGUGGGUCUCUAUGGGUCUCUAUGGGGUCCCUAUGGGUCUCUGUGGGGCACUGUGGGUCUCUAUGGGUCUCUGUGGGAUCUAUGGGUCUCUAUGGGUCCCUAUCGGUCGCUAUGGGUCUCUAUGGGGUCUCUGUGGGUCUCUAUGGGUCCCCAUGUGUCUCUAUGGGUCUUUAUGGGAUCUAUGGGUCUCUAUGGGUCCCUAUGGGGCACUGUGAGUCUCUAUGGGUCUCUAUGGGGUCUCUGUGGGGUCUCUAUGGGGCACUGUGGGUCUCUAUGGGGCUCUGUGGGUUCCCUGCGUGUCUCUGUGGGGCUCUGUGGGGCUCUAUGGGGUUCCUAUGGGUCGCUAUGGGGCGGAACCCCACUUCUUCCACCCCCCCCCACGCUCCUCCAUCCCCUUUCUUUCCCCUCACUCCUCCGAAACACCACCGAGCCGGUCCUCCACCGCGCUUAGAACGUCGAGGAAGAGACAGACCGGAAGCCGCUCUACCCACAGCGGGGAGCGGCGCGCCGCGUGACGUCACGUCCGGCCCGGAGCUGUGAGGACGUCCAAGAUGGCGCUUCCCGCCGUCCUCCUGCGCGCGGCGGGUACGGAACGGUCGGGGGGGGUUCCGGGAGGCCGCCAUCGUUUUACUUUGUCCGUUUUUUACCCCGUUUUCACCCCCAUUUUCUUCUUGCUUUUCCGUCGUAGCGCUCCGCUGCCGCUUGCCGUUGGCCAGCGUUGGGGUGAGCAUA
rnacentral:lncRNA from 1 species